CUCAACUAGUCUUUGCCUUUCAGAACUCUCUGUUCUUCCAUCUAGCCUGUACCAAUCUUUUCCUUUUCUCCAGAACUUUCCUCUUUUUCCAUGUCGAGGCAAUCUUGAAAGAUAAAAUUCAAUGAGAUCUAAAGUGGGAAUGCUUUGGCUAAAAACCAAUGCCUUAUCACCCACAUGAGAACACAUGCUUAAAAUGUCCAUCAGCA
rnacentral:misc_RNA from 1 species